GGGCCAACCAAAGCCACCUGCUAUGCAGGUGGAUUUUUACUUCUCGACUUAACACUUUUGGUUUGGCCGCCGAUCAGUUAAGAAGAGGGCAAAACUGGCGUUACGCAUAGCUGGCUGUUAGCUUAGAUUCCUUACUAUUUCACUACUAACAGUUUUUGUAACCAAAACCCGAGUUUAAUCGGGUUUUUUUAU
rnacentral:sRNA from 3 species